rnacentral:tRNA from 2 species
GGGUAAACAGGAUGGCAUUCAGGCGGCUGCGGGCUGCCGGGUUGAUGGCGUAAAUAAUGGUCUGGUGCGCCACCAGCGUCGCCUG